UACGUAGGGUGCGAGCGUUACUCGGAAUUACUGGGCGUAAAGCGUGCGUAGGCGGUCGGCAAAGUCAGCUGUGAAAGCCCCGGGCUUAACCUGGGAAUGGCGGUUGAAACUAGUCGACUCGAAUCUGGCAGAGGGGGGUGGAAUUCCACGUGUAGCAGUGAAAUGCGUAGAGAUGUGGAGGAACACCGAUGGCGAAGGCAGCCCCCUGGGCUGAGAUUGACGCUCAGGCACGAAAGCGUGGGGAGCAAACAGG
rnacentral:rRNA from 1 species